UCCCGCGCGGCGCGGAAGAGGGGAGGGGAUCCCCCAGCUCACGGGUCAUGCGAGGGUGCGGGGCAGGGGCGGCCGCCCCGGGCAUCUGCGGUCUCUGAAGCCGAGGCCUCCCCGCUCGGUCCCACCCCUCGCAACAAGGCCCACCGCCGGCCUCCCCCUGGCUCCUGGGCUAGGUCCGCUGCUCGCGGGGUCCGCUCUCGGGAGGAAAAGUUCCACACGGAGGAUGCGGCGCUGGUUUCAGCCUGCAGCGUCCGAGGCUCCUCCUCCCGCGCUGCCGAGGGAGGCGGGCUGCGCUCUUUUCCGGGCCCUGCCACACAAUGUUGCCUUCAGAGAGGGAGACCUUCGCAGCCUUUCUGCAUUCCCUCCCUCGGCCCAGGGGUGUCGGGCCGGAAGCUGCGGAGUCUCGGGUCGGGGUUUGCUCCCGCCGAGCCUUGAGCCGUUGGUGCGCAUGCUCUGUGGAGGCCCGCACAGGCCCUGAGUGAACUCUGAUAGAGCCUUCGCAAGGCGGGCCCCAGAUUCGCAAUGAAGAGCCCCACGCCACAUGAAAUGUGAGCAAGUCCACCCACCUCAUCUACCCUGGCGGCCAGUUCCUCGUUGGACCAGAUCCCUUCUAUCAUAAGCUCCUCCUCAGCACAUGGUUAUUACUGGAAUGCUGGUGGUUUGGGCAACUCUUUUUCUGGUGAGAUGGUGCAGUGGGAAGGUACAUCCCACUUCCAGCGGGCUGUCCCUCGGUGCUGGCUUGGCUUCUUGGGAAAAGAGUGAAGAAUCAGAGCCUACACGCUGCUGCUGAGCUCCACAGCCUCCAUCUUGCCUCCUCCUGUUUAGACGAUGCGGGUCCUAGUUCUGGGAAGCCCUUCCACCGGCAGAUCGCAGAGCCUCUCUGAACUUCAGGCUCCUCAUCUAUAAAAUGGACCUCCCAAGGUGGUGGUUUAGUGCUGUCAGGGACAUGUUGGCAGGGACCGUGUGAGCUGUUGUAUCCACAGUAGCCUGGAAAGGGUGAGGGCAAAGGGCUGGGGGACCGGUCAGAAGGCACCUACCACAAUCCAGGUAGGAGGUGACAGUGCUGCAGCCAGGCUGCACGGCGAAGGAUGGGAGGGGCCCCCGGAGAAACCUGAAUCAGGUACCACAGUAACGGGGAACGUGGAGGAGGGCGUGAUUCACUCCAAGGCCGCCAGGGGAUGUNNNNNNNNNNNNNNNNNNNNNNNNNNNNNNNNNNNCAGGCACUCAAGAGGGUGAGAACAUUCCAACACCGGUGUGCCGGGGCCCCAUUGAGAGGGAGCCAGGCCUGUUUGGGGACCUAUGAAGCAGCAUCACAUCAGAGCAGAAGGGUCAGGGGAGGCCAGAUGGGGAAGGAGCUCGCCGCUCUGCCAAGGGUGUUGUCCUCUGGGCGCCAGGGAGUUCAGGAAGAAUUUUAAGCCUGGGGGCCGGUGGUGCUUAAGACCUAAAACUUGCUAUUAAGAAAAGUCCCGUGGUCACCAUGAACGGCCUGGGGGGAGGUGGCAGGGAAAACCCAGAGGGGAAGCAGAAAAUGAGGGCUGACCCCGGGGCAGUGGGAGAGAGGGAAGGAGGCAUGAGAACCGUUUAGGGAGAAGAGAGGAUCAGGGCCGUGUGGGUUUGGGGAAAGAGGAGCAGGCUGUUUUGAGGAAGAGAAUGAGUCAUGUGGGGGCCGGCUGAAUUGGAGGAUCCACUGGGGGAUCAGACAGCCAAGCCCCAGAGCAGCCGAUGUUGGAGUCUGGAGCUCAGCGGAGGGGACUUGGGUCCAGAAGCCUCAAGGGACAGGUGGCAUUUAAGCUGUGGAAGGCCACCAGCUAAAAGGCAUCUCCAGAUUUUUACCUUUAGUAAGAUCUGAAUAGAGGUAUAUUUCCCUCCUCUUUGCCUCUUUCCCAAGGCCUUUGAGAGAUACAGUGAGAAAAACAUUCUUGAGGGUAAAGAGGAGGGAUCCAGGAGGGGAUCCUCCUAGGGCAGCACGGAGGAAUCCCUGGGCUGGUCCCACUUCACCCCACGGUGUCUGCGGGCAGAGGGGCCUGGAUAGGCAGGGCUCUUGGUAUCCAUUGUCCGUGGGUCUCUGCAUGCAGAUAUGUAAAGUUAUGUGUUUUCAUCUCCCCGUGAUUCCUGUUUUCCUGCAGCCCUUCCCGCUGAGGCGUAUGGCCCAAUGAAGUUGGAGGGGUGAAUUCGAAGCAAGACCUCAAGCAGGGGGUGAAGCGGACAUGAUGUAGAGAAGCUGCUGCUGAUGGCAAUGGGACCAGAAAAGGGGGGCCUAAGGAAGAGAGAACAUGAGAAGCAAAAAGGGCAGCCCCUUAACCUUCAACCUCAGAGGCUCGUGUGGGAGAAACCCAGUCAGGUCUGAGGGGAGAUCUCACAGCAAGGGGGUGGGUGGGACUUGACUCAGAUUGCAGUGGGGAGAAAUUUUAAUGACACCCCCUCCCUAGCAAACCAGCGAUGCAAGAUGGUGCCAGCACAAUAUGGUGCCAAUCAGGAGGUGGUUUGGAAUGGCUGAGGAAGGGAGUCUGGGAAGUGGCUUCAUGCAACGCUGCUCGUUCUAGUGAGAAUGCAGCCAGGUAGUCCUAGGUCCCAGGGGCCGCAGAGCCAAGAUCUGCCUCACCAGCUAUGUGCAGGGACCACGCACUUUGGCUUCACCUCUUCCUGCCCCUACCCCACCAGCAAGCCCCAGGGACCAGAACCAUCUCUGUCCUGCGUGUGUGUGUGUGUUGUGUGUGUGUGUGUGUGUGUGUGUGUGUGUGUGUGUGUAAGAAUGCAGGGGACUCCACUCAGACCUUCAACCCUCUUGUCCCACCACCGUGAGGCCCAUGAACAUCUCUCUGCACCAGGAAAUUAUCUUGGCUGGGAGAAGGCGGAAGGGUGAGAAAACCUUGGAAUACUGAGCAAUUUUACUCAAAAGAGACUGAGUUAAUCAUACAGAAAUGGAGCUAUGUCUAAGGGGCAAUUUAAUGCUUUCUUUUUGUUUGUUUUCUUUUUGCCCGUCAGUAGUAGGAAUUAUCAGAUCACGAUGAGAAGAGUAUAAGAAAAAGUAAGAACAAUACUGAUUUGACCCAUCUGGGUAGGUGUGUGUGUGUGAUCUUUAGCCCUCCCACAAUUAUGUCUGUACACGUUUGCUGGGGCAACUGUAUAUUUUCAAUUCCAAUCGUCAGACCUUUCCUUGAAGCUCACGUGUGUUUUGAUCUGGCCAGGAAUUGAGAAUCAUAAAAUCAUUAAAUCUGUAUUAAUUACCUAUUGCUGCAUAGUAAGUUAAUCCAAAAUUUAGCUGAAAUAAAUAUGUAUUAUCUCA
ensembl:lncRNA